rnacentral:rRNA from 1 species
GGGGUAAAGGCCUACCAAGACAAUGAUGCAUAGCCGAGUUGAGAGACUGAUCGGCCACAUUGGGACUGAGACACGGCCCAAAUUCCUACGGGAGGCUGCAGUAGGGAAUCUUCCACAAUGGGCGAAAGCCUGAUGGAGCAACGCCGCGUGUGUGAUGAAGGCUUUCGGGUCGUAAAGCACUGUUGUAUGGGAAGAAAAGUUAAGGUAGGGAAUGACCUUAGCCUGACGGUACCAUACCAGAAAGGGACGGCUAAAUACGUGCCAGCAGCCGCGGUAAUACGUAUGUCCCGAGCGUUAUCCGGAUUUAUUGGGCGUAAAGCGAGCGCAGACGGUUGGUUAAGUCUGAUGUGAAAGCCCGGAGCUCAACUCCGGAAAGGCAUUGGAAACUGGUUAACUUGAGUGCAGUAGAGGUAAGUGGAACUCCAUGUGUAGCGGUGGAAUGCGUAGAUAUAUGGAAGAACACCAGCGGCGAAGGCGGCUUACUGGACUGUAACUGACGUUGAGGCUCGAAAGUGUGGGUAGCAAACAGGAUUAGAUACCCUGGUAGUCCACACCGUAAACGAUGAACACUAGGUGUUAGGAGGUUUCCGCCUCUUAGUGCCGAAGCUAACGCAUUAAGUGUUCCGCCUGGGGAGUACGACCGCAAGGUUGAAACUCAAAGGAAUUGACGGGGACCCGCACAAGCGGUGGAGCAUGUGGUUUAAUUCGAAGCAACGCGAAGAACCUUACCAGGUCUUGACAUCCUUUGAAGCUUUUAGAAAUAGAAGUGUUCUCUUCGGAGACAAAGUGACAGGUGGUGCAUGGUCGUCGUCAGCUCGUGUCGUGAGAUGUUGGGUUAAGUCCCGCAACGAGCGCAACCCUUAUUGUUAGUUGCCAGCAUUCAGAUGGGCACUCUAGCGAGACUGCCGGUGACAAACCGGAGGAAGGCGGGGACGACGUCAGAUCAUCAUGCCCCUUAUGACCUGGGCUACACACGUGCUACAAUGGCGUAUACAACGAGUUGCCAACCUGCGAAGGUGAGCUAAUCUCUUAAAGUACGUCUCAGUUCGGACUGCAGUCUGCAACUCGACUGCACGAAGUCGGAAUCGCUAGUAAUCGCGGAUCAGCACGCCGCGGUGAAUACGUUCCCGGGUCUUGUACACACCGCCCGUCACACCAUGGAAGUUUGUAAUGCCCAAAGCCGGUGGCCUAACCGUAAGGAGGGAACC